rnacentral:sRNA from 1 species
UUUACAGCACUGCAAACUGGAAUCCUCUAUUCACAGAACAGAUAUAAGCACAGGCAGCAUCAGUGCAAGCUCCUCUACACGGCCUCAUGAGUGUUUCUCAAGGCUAGAUCACAGGGACCACUUCUGAGCUAGGGAGCAAGAGUAGUUCCACCUCCAUUCCCAUUCAAGCUUUGGGAUCU